rnacentral:lncRNA from 1 species
UAACAAGUGAGCAAAACCUAGACACUCUGCAAACUGAUUAGAAGUCGAGAAAAACAUGGGAACCUUAUUACAAAGCAUUGCUAGUAGGUCACAAAGGUCAUCUGUGAAGGGACACGAUAUCUGGUGCUAACAUUAUUCUAUUAAAGGCCGCCUCUAAAUUAGAAUGAACUAGCCAUAGGUCAUGACACAAACUCAUCAAAUCCAAUAUCUCCACCUCCACCUCCACCUCCACCUCCACCUCCACCAAACCACAACCACCAACAAUACCAUAACAUCCCGCAACCACGAUCUCCACCUUAUCUAAAACUACCGACGAUCGUCAGAUUUGUAGCCAUCCGAUGACCACCAGCGCUCACACCCGCAGCACCACCCUUCAUUGUAUCUUCUGUCUUCCAUCUUCCAACAAUCACAAGCAGAGUACGUCUGUAGAUUCUGAUUUCACCUUCUUUAAUUCGAAUAGAUCGCCCCCAAUGUCACCGUCAAUCAACAUAGCCUUCACCUUCAUAAACUACAAAUUUACGAUUGGGUUACAAUAAAAUCAUCAACGUAGAAGUUGAGCAAGAUAGGAAAUGUAGAGAGAGAAAGAAGUUGAGGAAGAAAGGGACUGUAGAGAGAGUAAUUAGGGGUCAGUUCAUUAUCAC